UCAGAUGGCCGGGAGGCCGCGGCCGCGCGAGCGGUCGAGGAAAGUCCGGGCUCCACGACGACAUGGCGGCGGGUAACGCCCGCCGGGGGCGACCCCAGGGAAAGCGCCACAGAAAGCAAACCGCCCGUCCUCGUGACGGGUAAGGGUGAAAGGGUGCGGUAAGAGCGCACCGCGCGGGCGGCAACGUCGGCGGCAUGGCAAGCCCCGCCAGGAGCAAGACCGAAUAGGGAUCCUGCGCCGGCUGUCCUUCGGGACGGACGGCAGGGCCGUCGUCGGCCCGAGGGAUCCGGGUUGGUCGCGCGAACCGUCCCGCGAGGGCCGGUCCAGAGGAAUGGUCGCCGCGCCCGGGCCUGGUUCUGCUGGGCCCGGGUGACACAGAACCCGGCUUAUAGGCCGUCUGAUCCG
rfam:Phenylobacterium sp. RIFCSPHIGHO2_01_FTLL_70_10 rifcsphigho2_01_scaffold_30239, whole genome shotgun sequence.